GAUGAACGCUGGCGGCGUGCUUAACACAUGCAAGCCGAACGGAAAGGCUCCUGCUUGCAGGGGUACUCGAGUGGCGAACGGGUGAGUAACACGUGGGUGAUCUGCCCUGCACUUCGGGAUAAGCCUGGGAAACUGGGUCUAAUACCGGAUAGGACGAUGGUUUGGAUGCCAUUGUGGAAAGUUUUUCGGUGUGGGAUGAGCUCGCGGCCUAUCAGCUUGUUGGUGGGGUAAUGGCCUACCAAGGCGUCGACGGGUAGCCGGCCUGAGAGGGUGUACGGCCACAUUGGGACUGAGAUACGGCCCAG
rnacentral:rRNA from 1 species